rnacentral:rRNA from 1 species
GACGAACGCUGGAGGCGUGCUUAACACAUGCAAGUCGAACGAUGAUGCUCCAGCUUUGUUGGGGUGGAUUAGUGGCGAACGGGUGAGUAACACGUGAGUAACCUGCCCUCUUCUUUGGGAUAACGGUCGGAAACGGCUGCUAAUACUGGAUAUUCACUCAUUGGCGCAUGUUGGUGGGUGGAAAGGUUUUUUCUGGUGGGGGAUGGGCUCGCGGCCUAUCAGCUUGUUGGUGGGGUGAUGGCCUACCAAGGCUUUGACGGGUAACCGGCCUGAGAGGGUGACCGGUCACAUUGGGACUGAGAUACGGCCCAGACUCCUACGGGAGGCAGCAGUGGGGAAUUUUGCACAAUGGGCGCAAGCCUGAUGCAGCGACGCCGCGUGAGGGAUGAAGGCCUUCGGGUUGUAAACCUUUUUCGCUCAUGGUCAAGCCGCAGCUUUGGGUUGUGGUGAGGGUAGUGGGUAAAGAAGCGCCGGCUAACUACGUGCCAGCAGCCGCGGUAAUACGUAGGGCGCGAGCGUUGUCCGGAAUUAUUGGGCGUAAAGGGCUUGUAGGCGGUUGGCCGCGUCUGCCGUGAAAUCCUCUGGCUUAACUGGGGGCGUGCGGUGGGUACGGGUUGACUUGAGUGCGGUAGGGGAGACUGGAAUUCCUGGUGUAGCGGUGGAAUGCGCAGAUAUCAGGAGGAACACCGGUGGCGAAGGCGGGUCUCUGGGCCGUUACUGACGCUGAGGAGCGAAAGCGUGGGGAGCGAACAGG